rnacentral:lncRNA from 1 species
UUAAAAAAUUUUCCUAUUUGGGGUGGGACUCCAUGGGGCCCCAAAUCCGUGGAGGAUUUUGCCAUCCUUAAUCUGGUCUUCACCUACAGUAGUUAAUGUGGGUCAAAAAUGUCAAGAUCAGAUGAGACUCAAAAAUUACCUUUUGUAUAUCAUCAGAUAGAUCCCAGUGGUAAAGUCAUUAUCUUUUCAAUUGACAAGGUUACUUGAUAAACAGGGUUUGGGAUGGGCAUGGGUUGGGUUAACGUGAGUUUGUGAAAAUCCAACCCAACUUACUAUUGAUUGGGUUCAGAAAAAAAUCAAAUCAACCCAACCCAACAAAUAUAUUCAACCCCAAUUGUUGAUGCCAAAAAACAACCUCAACAGUUGAAUGGUUUCUUUGGGGAAUAACGGCACAAAUCCAAGCUCAAACGUCAGUCUGAUCACAACUUUCUAUACCUGCCAACCAUAAAACACACUUAGGAUACGACGAUGGGGUUCUAGCACAGACCCUUCAAUGCUUAAGUCAAAAAUUGUAUAUAAGGAAAGAAAAACGGGAAGAAAGAAUUGUGAAUAAGUUAAAAUCAAGGAAAUUUUCCGGUAGAGAUGUUGAAAGUCUUGUAGGAAAUAAAGAGGCUUUUAAAUAGGUGACUUGUAAAAUUUUUGGUUGAUUUUGCUAACCCCUUCCUCUGUUGCCCUCUUCAGCUUAAAUAGGCCCUUGGUCGUGGGCGAUUACCACCUUAACUUUAGCCCACUUUCUUCAGCUGUUGCAAGUGUUGAUUAAUUGGAGGUGGUUUAAGAAAUCGUGGCAUAUAACUUCCCUAAAAAUUAGGCCACGUUAUCUCGGCUAGUAAUUUUCCAUGUCAAGUAGUUCUCAGGUCGGACAAAUGAAUUUCGAGGUCGGACUAUCUUACUUACUUCCAGAUCAGAUUGGCGAAUUUUUGAGUCGCCCACAUAGGCUUAAAGUUAUAUUCUUAAAUUAGGUUGUUUGCAUAAACCUCAUGUUGUACUUGUAAAUCAGGUUGCCAACAUAAGAUCCAUGUUGUACUUAUGAGGUCUGUUCAACAGUAAUAAAUUCUAAGUAGAUUAAUGCUGACUCUAUUUAUAAAUGCUAUCAAAAAAAUCUAACCCGAACAUCAGUCUCCUAGUUUUCAACAUCGAAAAGUCAUUAUCGGUGUUGGAAACUAAUUAAUGAAAAAUAGAAAAAAUUUUACGAACCGAACCCUAAUCCUCUAGUUUUCAAUACUGAGAAGAUAUGAAUGGUAUUGAAAAUUAAAACAACGAAUAAGGCCCAAUAUGGUCUCUAGAAUAACAGAGGCAAUGUGAAGUAGAACAGAGAUAAUGUUGAGUUGAAUAAGCUCAAAAGUAAGAAUUUGGCAAGAAUAAAAUAAAAUAAAAAGAAAGAGAAAGUGGGGGUGUUCAGAAUCCAAUCCGAUUCUCUCAAUCCAUCUCAUCUGCAAAAAUCUAAUUAGUAAAAAUCCGAUCUGUGGAUUGGUCGAUUGGAUUAGAUUGAAAAUUUAAAAAUCUACAGUUGGUGGAUUACCUAUGGAUUU